UGUAUUGUGACUCAGUGGUAAAGUGCUCAUCUAGCACAAUGAGGCUCUGGGUUCAAUCCUCGGCACCACAU
rnacentral:tRNA from 1 species